rnacentral:rRNA from 1 species
AUUGAACGCUGGCGGCAGGCCUAACACAUGCAAGUCGAACGGUAGCACAGAGAGCUUGCUCUUGGGUGACGAGUGGCGGACGGGUGAGUAAUGUCUGGGAAACUGCCCGAUGGAGGGGGAUAACUACUGGAAACGGUAGCUAAUACCGCAUAACGUCUUCGGACCAAAGUGGGGGACCUUCGGGCCUCACACCAUCGGAUGUGCCCAGAUGGGAUUAGCUAGUAGGUGGGGUAAUGGCUCACCUAGGCGACGAUCCCUAGCUGGUCUGAGAGGAUGACCAGCCACACUGGAACUGAGGCACGGUCCAGACUCCUACGGGAGGCAGCAGUGGGGAAUAUUGCACAAUGGGCGCAAGCCUGAUGCAGCCAUGCCGCGUGUAUGAAGAAGGCCUUCGGGUUGUAAAGUACUUUCAGCGGGGAGGAAGGCGUUAAGGUUAAUAACCUUGGCGAUUGACGUUACCCGCAGAAGAAGCACCGGCUAACUCCGUGCCAGCCGCCGCCGUAA